rnacentral:rRNA from 1 species
CCCUUAGAUGUUCUGGGCUGCACGCGCGCUACACUGAUGCGCUCAACGAGUUUUAACCUUGCCUGGAAAGGUUGGGUAAUCUUUUUAAAACGCAUCGUGAUGGGGAUAGAUUAUUGCAAUUAUUAAUCUUCAACGAGGAAUUCCUAGUAAGCGCGAGUCAUCAGCUCGUGCUGAUUACGUCCCUGCCCUUUGUACACACCGCCCGUCGCCCCUACCGAUUGAGUGAUCCGGUGAAUAAUUCGGACUGCGGCAUUGACCGGUUCCCGAUCGUUGCUGCGGAAAGUUUAGUGAACCUUAUCACUUAGAGGAAGGAGAANUCGUAACA